rnacentral:lncRNA from 1 species
AUCCUUAUUGUUAUAUUUAAACUUGUUGAGCAAACUUGUUGCUCAUCCUUGCUAUAUCGUGAAUUAUAUUGUAGCUAAGCUCGAGACCUCAGAAAAGGACAAGGGUAAAGGAAAGAUGUAGGAUAGUCGCCAAGAGCUGACUUUACUACAUGUCUAGUUUAAAUUAUUGUUUUGUAAUGUGAACCCUAAUUAUUAAUUUAGGGUAUGUUUGUAAGAUUGUAUUAAGGUUAUCGAAUCUUGGGACUAGUAACACCUUUUGAAUGAACGACGUACGUUUAUUAUAUUUUGCAUUUUAAUUAUCGUAUGUUGUUUAGAGGUGGAUGUUUAUAUUUUAUCGUGCCGAACCGGGGUCAGAGGACCCGGAUUUGGGGGUGUCACACUAUGUGGUUGCUUCGAUUUCGGUUGGGAUUGAUCUUCAUUUUUCCCAAUGUGGUAUAGGGGUAGAUGUUCAGGGAUGAUCUUCCAUCUAUUAGUAUACCUCCGACCACAUAUCCAGAAGACAUCACUUCUAUAUGCAGUG